AUUGAACGCUGGCGGCAGGCCUAACACAUGCAAGUCGAGCGGAUGAAGGGAGCUUGCUCCUGGAUUCAGCGGCGGACGGGUGAGUAAUGCCUAGGAAUCUGCCUGGUAGUGGGGGAUAACGUCCGGAAACGGGCGCUAAUACCGCAUACGUCCUGAGGGAGAAAGUGGGGGAUCUUCGGACCUCACGCUAUCAGAUGAGCCUAGGUCGGAUUAGCUAGUUGGUGGGGUAAAGGCCUACCAAGGCGACGAUCCGUAACUGGUCUGAGAGGAUGAUCAGUCACACUGGAACUGAGACACGGUCCAGACUCCUACGGGAGGCAGCAGUGGGGAAUAUUGGACAAUGGGCGAAAGCCUGAUCCAGCCAUGCCGCGUGUGUGAAGAAGGUCUUCGGAUUGUAAAGCACUUUAAGUUGUGAGGAAGGGCAGUAAGUUAAUACCUGGCUGUUUUGACGUUACCAACAGAAUAAGCACCGGCUAACUUCGUG
rnacentral:rRNA from 1 species